GCUUGGGUAGCUCAGUCGGUAGAGCACUUGCCCGUGAAAAGCAAAGGUCCCGAGUUCGAGUCUCGGUCCGACGCA
rnacentral:tRNA from 1 species